CAGAUUGACUCUUCCUCAGCUCAAAACUUAAGUGCUCCAUUAGAGUCAUCACCUGCUGUGGGAAUGCAAAUCCCUCCUGGCUCCACCCAACCCUACAUUGAAAAGCUAACUCUGGGCCUGAGUAGUCAUUGGUGCACAGACAUGAACAGUCUUACCUUCUCAUUCCUGCUGCUUACUGCCCCUGCAUAUGUCCUAUCUCAGGUUACUCUGAAAGAGUCUGGCCCUGGGAUGUUGCAGCCAUCACAGACCCUCAGUCUGACCUGUACUUUCUCUGGGACUUCACUGAGCACUUCCAAUAUGGGUUUGAGCUGGCUUCGUCAGCCCUCAGGAAAGGGUUUAGAGUGGCUGGCAAGCAUUUGGAAUAAUGAUAACUACUACAACCCAUCCUUGAGGAGCCGGCUCACAAUCUCCAAGGAGACCUCCAAAAACCAGGUACUCCUUAAGUUCACCAGUAUGGAGCCUGCAGAUACUGCCACAUACUACUGCGCUUGGAGAGCACAGAGUUACAAUCUUGGUUUUCAGCUAGUUAUCAAUUGCAAUAAUGUGUUGGAUAAUAUUGAGAUCCUUGCCCACGCUGCUUGGUCAGUACUGCAGUCGUAUCAGGAUGGAAUCAGUGCAGGCGCCUUGUAG